rnacentral:rRNA from 1 species
CACGUAGGGGCCAAGCGUUGUCCGGAUUUAUUGGGCGUAAAGAGCUCGUAGGCGGUCUGUCACGUCGGCUGUGAAAUCCCGAGGCUCAACCUCGGGUCUGCAGUCGAUACGGGCAAACUAGAGUAUUGCAGGGGAGACUGGAAUUCCUGGUGUAGCGGUGAAAUGCGCAGAUAUCAGGAGGAACACCGGUGGCGAAGGCGGGUCUCUGGGCAAUAACUGACGCUGAGGAGCGAAAGCGUGGGGAGCGAACAGG